AAGCCCGUACUGGCAGGGACCAUUUCUAUGAUUUAUUAUUAGAGAUGUUUCUCUGAACAUACAGGGCACCAGAAGCCACAGAAAUGAGGUGUAGAGUUCUCUCCUGAGUAUGAAGUCCAUCUUCAGUGAGGAUUUCAUUGCAAUUGUCAUUGCCAAUGGUGACAUUUUCUUUUCCUUAUUUUUUCAAGUGGAUAAAAUUCAGUCUGAGUGCU